CUGCACACAAAAUGGUUCUUGCAUCAUACAUCCAUUAAUCAGUGACUGAACCAAGUCUGAACAAACUGACAAUUCUGCCUCCAUUCCUACAGGAACUGGAUCAACCUCCUUGGCUGUUAACAACACUUGACUGGUGUAACGACUCACCGUCCGGGCAGACGAACUGGCUUGGCAGUCGGGUCGCGCGGCGUCGGAGCGACGAGGCCCAAGAUGGCGGCGGGCCUUCAUCUUCCCCGAGCGACGGGGAGAACCCGCACGCGGGAAAGACUUGAUGACAUAGCAUAUACGUCAUUGCCGGUUGCAUUGGGCGGGAACAGUCUCCCUUAAAAGGCCCACGCAAGGCGGGAAAAUAAACCAGUUCUUGUUUGGCAA